rnacentral:tmRNA from 1 species
UUGGAUCCGGGGGCGGUACCCGGCCCCUCCACCAAAAUAUAACAGACAAAAUUAUAUUUUGAUGGGGGCGAAAUAGGAUCGACAAGAGUGUAAAGAUUGCUUUUUUACUCGUCAUAGUACCACCGUUAUCGGACUAAAUUAGUAGUUGCAAAUGACAACUAUGCGGAAGCACGCCUCGCCGCUUAAUGCAGCGAGAAUGUUUCAAACUAAGCCUUAAAUCGACCAAGAUUUAAGCGGGGUCUGGAGG